GUGGGGAAUUUUGGACAAUGGGCGCAAGCCUGAUCCAGCAAUGCCGCGUGCAGGAAGAAGGCCUUCGGGUUGUAAACUGCUUUUGUACGGAACGAAAAGGCUCUGGUUAAUACCUGGGGCUCAUGACGGUACCGUAAGAAUAAGCACCGGCUAACUACGUGCCAGCAGCCGCGGUAAUACGUAGGGUGCAAGCGUUAAUCGGAAUUACUGGGCGUAAAGCGUGCGCAGGCGGUUUUGUAAGACAGAGGUGAAAUCCCCGGGCUCAACCUGGGAAUUGCCUUUGUGACUGCAAGGCUGGAGUGCGGCAGAGGGGGAUGGAAUUCCGCGUGUAGCAGUGAAAUGCGUAGAUAUGCGGAGGAACACCGAUGGCGAAGGCAAUCCCCUGGGCCUGCACUGACGCUCAUGCACGAAAGCGUGGGGAGCAAACAGGAUUAGAUACCCGUGUAGUCC
rnacentral:rRNA from 1 species